ensembl:lncRNA
CUCCCUCCGGGGCGGCCUGGUCCAGCGAGCGGGUGGGAGUCCCCGGGCUGCACUCCCUCCGGGGCAGCCUGGUCCAGCGAGCGGGUGGGAGUCCCCGGGCUGCACUCCCUCCGGGGCAGCCUGGUCCAGCGAGCGGGAGGGACUCCCCGGGCUGCACUCCUGUCACAGCAGCACUUCUAGACGAUCCGGCGGGAGGACAGGUCAGGCGCCUUGGAAACCAGCCGCUUGUGGCGCCCUGGCGAGUGUCUCAGCGCUUAGACGCCGCGAGUGCUCUCCCCACGGCGGGGGCUGCCGUGCCCGGCUCGGUGGCCCGACGGGAAGCAGCCCGUGAACUUCGGACCGAGCGCCCCACCGCCCUGGGGAGAGGGUCCCACGUGCCGGGGUGCCCUUCCCGCAGCCCCGUCUGUACCCGUGAUCCAGGCCCAUGCCUUUGUUGUCUUCACACUUCCUUCCACGUAUUUAUUGCAAGGGUCCCCAAGAGGGUCUCCAUGGUCUUGAUCGUCCCUGCGAAACGUCAAUCACUGGUCUGCCCCGAAACCCAUUGCCGUUGCUAGAAAAACAGUCUAGGCCAAGAGCGCUGCGGACGACCCCACCCCAGGACCAGAGUACCUUCCUGACCUUCCCGCGAGCCAGGACUCUGGUGGAGCGACCACAGCCUAAACUCCAGGAUUUUAAGGAAAAAUCGGAACUGAUGGCUGGAUGGGGAGGACCCUGUGCCCGGCGGUGCUGCGGUUCCUUGUUCCCGGUUAUGCGCAGGCCAGGGCGGCCGGCGUGCCAGCCCCUCGGCGCCAGCUGCCUCUGCCCUCACAGCGGCCCCGUGGAACUGGCAGUGGCAACGGAAAGGGGCUUAACUUCCUUUCUAAUCUUGCUGGCUUCAAGGUUAGAAGAUGGCGAAUUUGCUCUGAUAUGUUUGAGAAGACAAAUAAAGUUGUUACUUUGGGCAGAAUGUGGCUUUUUUUUUUUUCCUCUUACAAAUUCCUGUUGUCUUUCAAAGCAGAGUAUUUUUUUGUGUGAAAACACGUACAAUGUAAAGAAAGUGAGCAAUGGUGAGCCCACCACCCACGCCAAGGAACUGAUCUUCACCCCCAGGCUCCUCCCCGUGUGCCCUUGUGGGCCGAGCCUCCCCUCCCCCCACGGAGGAGGGAACUAUGGUUUUAAAACUGGAGCGAAUCGCUUGCUUCACCCACGUGAGGGGAUCAGAACACAGCACCCCACGUGCGCCACUUGGGCAUGAGGGUGUUCUGAGCAGGUGACAGUGAAGCAGCAGGGAAUGCAGACAGAGCUGCCUGCCCCUCCCACGUCUGCCUGGAGGGACACGCGCUCCCGAUGUGCGGGUGAGCCCCCCUGCCCUCGGGGGCCACCCGUGUCCCUGGAGACAGAGUCAGCUCUGAGCUGACAGACCAACCUGAGUAAUAAAACCACCCUUCCGUUCUGUUUGCCAGCCCCUUUCUCUUGUGGCUCAGCUGGUAAAGAAUCCACCUGCAAUGCAGGAGACCUGGGUUCAAUCCCUGGGAUGGGAAGAUCCCCUGGAGAAGGGGAAGGCUCCCCACUCCAGUAUUCUGACCUGGAGAAUCCCAGGGACUGUAUAGUCCAUGGAGUUGCACAGAGGCAGACAUGACCAAGCGACUUUCACUCUGGUCCAUUAGUUUCCCCGCAAAUAAAAUUCCUCAGUAUGUUCACCCAAGAAGCCCAAGCUCCCUUUUAUCUUGUCACUUCUUGACAAAUUUAUUGCCCUUUAUUAAAACGGCAUAUAAAACCCUGACUCUGACCACCUCUUUGGGUCAGACUCUUUUUCUACAACGGCCUCCAGAACAAAAAAAUACGUAAAUAUUAGCAUUAAAUAAAAACUCUAUGCCUUUUCUCCUAACUUGCCUUUUGUUGAUUUAACUUGCAGACUCCAGUAACUGAACGUAAGAGGGUAGAAGAAAGGUUUUUCUCCUUCCCCCAUGUGUUUAUCUUGAGAUAGUGUAUUUAGUUUUGCAGGUUUUGCUCUUUACAUAAAGUGGUCCUACUGUGUCAUUUUCUGCAGCUUGUCUCAUUUAGCGGGUAUUAAAACGUUUUCAUCAUGAAACGGAAUUUUCCAGUCUAUUAGCAUUGCAUGUGUUUCCAUUUACGUCAGUCCUCAUUCAUGUCAUAGAGCUUUAGAAUUUUUCCACAUCUUUCAAUUUUAUUUGGAUUUGUUCUUAAAAACAUCGUUAUUGUGAGGCUACUCUCCUUUAAGUAGAAAUGCAGUUGUUUUUUGAGUGGGAUUAUAUCCAAAAAGGUUGCCUCAUUUAUCUGCAGGCCUGGGGGCUGUCUGUAGUCACAGAUACUGGAACGUUUGUCUUCCUUCACGACCUUGUUGGUGGGAUGCCAGCCCUUGACAGUGGAGGACGCUGGGUCCGCAAGAGGAAGGGGCUGGGCUUCCUGUCCCAGUGGUUUUGGGGCAGAUCUCAGCGAGCCGGACACUAGGGCCUCCCUCGGAUCACGGACCACAGCUGCCGGUCCCAGACACCCCUGCAGUCCUCAGGGUCCCUCACACCUCACUCGAGUCUCUGUUUCAGCAAAUACCUUUGGAAUCAGCUUUGCCAGUUGGUUACCGUGGGGAGAACCGGACCAGACUGAGUUCUUGGUUCACCAUAAGCACCCCGCUUUGGUCAGUGUGUGCCUGCUUAUUUACCUGUCCGUCAGUCGUAAAAUCCACUCCCCAAACGCCAUGUUGUAAACAGCACCCGUGGAGAGAGCCCCAGUUCAAGAACAAGAACGUUCAUUUCAUUCCCUCUGUGCGCCCGUCUCCCCCUUCUGUCCCCCAGACCCCCCUGCCCCACACCGCCGGGCCCCCAGCACGGUCACUGCACGGCCCCAGUGGCUGCAGAAGCCAGGCAGGUUCCUGCAUCCGUGUCCAGUGUUGGCGAGUGGCCCGGCAGAACCACACGCGCUACCAAGGACCCCUCUGCCCAGGACCCCUCGGCCUCCCACCUCAGCCUCAGUGUGGUGGGGGCUACAAGCAGCACCUGGCCCCAGAGAUGCUCACGGUCCCCAGGAGGCCAGGCCUGAACCCCCCCCCUCCAGGGUGUGUGCCAGCCCCUGGACACCCCUCCCCGCCGGCCACCACCCAUCACUGGCUUCCUUCUUCUGGAAGCCGGCCUCUGCCUCCCUCUUCCCAGCCUGUCCGUGUGCAUAGCCCCCCGCCCUGCCCCCACGGCCCACUCCCGGGGGACCCACCUCGCCCCUCGGCCUUGACGCCAAAACCCCACUGCCCUCCAGCGCUGCUGGCCACGGGACCCUGCCAGGAAAGCCACCCCACACCCUCCCCCACUGUGAGCACAACACGUUCCAGGUUUAUUUAAAUAAAAAUUUAUAAUUUAUACAAGACUUUUUUCUUUAAACAAGGUUUUUUUUAAAAAAAAAAGUUACAGGAGGGUUUUUUUUCAAUUAGUUCUUCAUACAGUACAGUCCUUUUGUAGAACAAAACUUACACUGGUGAGGAGCAUUUACAAUUGAAAAUAGACUCAAGCUUCAGACAUAAAAACGUUAACAUUCACUCUAGUUCCGUGAUCAGUCGCAGAAAUUAAACAUCUGCCCAGAUUUACACGAUUCAGUAAAAACGACACGGGCUCUUGCCGACAGGGCGUCUGCCCAGGCCGGCGCCCUCCCGGCAGAGGCCCCGGGCUUCCAAGCAGGGCCCGCCGCGGCCCCCGGCGGCCGCCCCCAGCACAUGGUCAGUUUUCAUCUCCCUUUCUCCUCGGAAGGGACUCAAACCAAGCCACGUGGCUCUGAAGACAGCAAGUCCGCUCCCCUGCAGGGCCCCUGCCCCAGGCUUGGGGACACACGCUGACCACACAGUGGCCCCAGCGAGGGCGUCCGGCAGCACUCCCGGGUGUCGCCCCCGCAGUCACCCUGGGCCCAGUCCAGGGCCCACCCUGCCUGCCUCGGGCCCGGAGGGGGCCCCACUGGCUGUGGACCCUCCCCCAGCCCGAGACUCGCUCCACCUGUGCUGACCAGGGGCCAAAGCCCAGGCUGAGGGUGGACUCCGCCUGCGUCCGUUCAAG